GUGGCUCAGUGGUAGAGUGUUUGCCUUGCAUGCAUGAAGCCCUGGGUUCGAUUCCUCAGC
rfam:Dipodomys ordii contig_89636, whole genome shotgun sequence.